rnacentral:rRNA from 1 species
CCUUGUGGUAGGGGACAACAGUUGGAAACGACUGCUAAUACCCUAUGAGCCCUAUGGGGGAAAGAUUUAUCGCCAUGAGAUGUGCCCGCGUUAGAUUAGCUAGUUGGUAAGGUAAUGGCUUACCAAGGCGACGAUCUAUAGCUGGUCUGAGAGGAUGAUCAGCCACACUGGGACUGAGACACGGCCCAGACUCCUACGGGAGGCAGCAGUGGGGAAUAUUGGACAAUGGGGGCAACCCUGAUCCAGCCAUGCCGCGUGUGUGAUGACGGCCUUAGGGUUGUAAAGCACUUUCAGCAGUGAAGAUAAUGACAUUAACUGCAGAAGAAGCCCCGGCUAACUUCGUGCCAGCAGCCGCGGUAAUACGAAGGGGGCUAGCGUUGUUCGGAAUCACUGGGCGUAAAGAGUACGUAGGCGGACUGAUAAGUUAGGGGUGAAAUCCCAAGGCUCAACCUUGGAACUGCCUUUGAUACUGUCAGUCUUGAGAUCGAGAGAGGUGAGUGGAACUCCGAGUGUAGAGGUGAAAUUCGUAGAUAUUCGGAAGAACACCAGUGGCGAAGGCGGCUCACUGGCUCGAUACUGACGCUGAGGUACGAAAGCGUGGGGA